UACUAGAUCUAUUAUUCAAAUAGUGUAGCAGAUAAAUUUGUUUAAAAAAAAACAACUUUUUUUCUUUUUUAGACAGUGAUGGGAAAUGGGGCUUUUGCUAAGGUUCGAAAUGUUUCCGGUAUUACAGCGACUGUCCCUUUCCUCUUUAUUGAUGGAUUUGAUUGGAGGGUAUGGUUCAUCAACGUGAGUCGAAGAUUCUUCCUGAGUGUCUUUCUGUAUCCACCAAAUAUGAUGCUUUGGGAUUGUAUCCGGCUUAUAAAGAUCUUCAAUGGAGUAACCUUCAAUGUCCAGUCCAACAGUUAAAUCUUCUUUCCAAAAAUCAAUUGCUUCGUCAAAUGUCUUUAACGCAUCGCUUCGCUCUAUCCUUACACCGAUUUUGUUUUCGUCAGUAUGGAGAGAUUCAUCUAUUUGAAAAUCUUUGAACUCCUCUAAAAUAAACUGCAAAGCUGAUCGAUAUUUUAAAGCGCAAGGUCCUUCUUUUGGUUCAAAGUAAUAGCCGAAGUGUAGAAGUACAGAAAGUAUUUUGUCAAUGUUUUGGGUUAAAAGGUAACCUAUGAUUUCUUUUUCUUCUUUUUUGAACUUUAUUUUCACUUCACAGGCAAAGAAAAAUAAGUCCAAAA
rnacentral:sRNA from 1 species